rnacentral:lncRNA from 1 species
CGGAAGGGCAGCGCAAUUCCAGACUGCGUAUCAGUGGGGACGCAGGUCGUUGGGUGUACACGCGCAGGGGAGGAGAACCGACUUUCCCUCUGCUCUUCCGGGGUCUCGGCUCAGACCUCUGCAGUAAGACAGAGUAACAGGCGAAAGACAGAUAGCACUCCCCUGGAUACCCCCUGUACACACGGCAGAGCCCCAGGACACCUAACCCCCCGACGUGGCCCCGCGCGCCACCUGCAGUACCAUCUCCGGCUCAAGACAAAGGACAUGUGGGUGGGGAGCUUCCCCAAACGAUCUGCUCUGAAUCAUCUUUGUGCCAAGCAGAUGUAUCUGGGGGUGGCAGAGUCGGCUCCCCCUCACCACCCUCCAAUAUGCCUCUCUGACAUAUGGAUUAUUUGAGGCAGUGCAGACACUGGAGACGCUCUGGAAACAGAGCAUGAGGUCCUGGUCUGUUGUAGGCGACGCGGACGUUAGAAGGGAGGCCUGCACCAGGAGGCAGGCGAGCUGCUACCAGCAUGAAUUUCCUCUUCUCCCCUCUGAAGUCCCAGACCCAGUCCUGGUCCUCAGAGCAAGACGGCCCAGCUGCCUUUUGGGUCCCACAUCUUGGUCGGGGCUCCAGUAAACAAGUAGGUGGUUCGUUUUGCUGUCUCCUGGUAAUCUGUCAUUUUUGAUGGGGGCUGGGGUCUCAGCUAAGGACCUAGAGGCUGAGGGAAAAUGAUUUGUACUCCCCUACGGUGGUGUACUGUGAUACUCUUCACACGCCUAUAAUUAUGACUAUACUUAUGCAGUAAAUAUUGGAAAGAGAAGAUCGGAGUGCUAAGAUUCAAAAAGAAGAAGAAGAAAAGGACCAUGUUACGGGACGGAAGUCAGAGAAAAUUUUCCUGAGGAGAUACGAGCCCAAAUCUAAAUGUAAUAGUCAGCCCUGAGCUCAGGGAGGGGAAACUGAUAUCCGAGGUGGCCGAGGGGCAGGAACUGGGCCGCUAAGGCAGGAAUGAGCUUUCCCUGUUUCAAGUGCUGAAAAGGACACCCCGGUGGUAGGAGCACCAAGUACAUCAAGCCAGGAGCUGUCAUGUAAAGGAGAAGCAGAACCAGCACCUCCUCACCAUGCAAACUAAAGGGCUUUCAUUAGUGACACUUGCCUAAGGACAGUGUGGUAUCGCUCCCUUAAACCAGGGUUGAUAGAAGCACUUUUUUUUUCUUUCCAUUUUUGGCCGCCCCGGUAUAUGGAGUUCCCUGGCCAGUGCCCCACAGUGGGAGCUCCAAAUCACUCUUCUAUUAUUGUCAUUAUUAUUUUGCAUUUUAGGGUUGCACCCA